ACGAACGCUGGCGGCGUGCUUAACACCUGCAAGUCGAACGGUGAAGCGCCUUCCUUUUUGGUGGGUGUGGAUGAGUGGCGAACGGGUGAGUAACACGUGAGUAACCUGCCCCCUUCUUCUGGAUAACCGCAUGAAAGUGUGGCUAAUACGGGAUAUUCUGGGUCUGUCGCAUGAUGGGUCUGGGAAAGAUAUUGUUUCGGUGGGGGAUGGGCUCGCGGCCUAUCAGCUUGUUGGUGGGGUGAUGGCCUACCAAGGCGGUGACGGGUAGCCGGCCUGAGAGGGUGGACGGUCACACUGGGACUGAGACACGGCCCAGACUCCUACGAGAGGCAGCAGUGGGGAAUAUUGCACAAUGGGCGCAAGCCUGAUGCAGCGACGCCGCGUGAGGGAUGGAGGCCUUCGGGUUGUGAACCUCUUUCGCCAGUGAAGCAGGCCUGCCUCGUUUGUGGGUGGGUUGACGGUAGCUGGAUAAGAAGCGCCGGCUAACUACGUG
rnacentral:rRNA from 1 species